UCUGGUGACGAUGGCAAGGAGGUCACACCUGUUCACAUGCCGAACACAGAAGUUAAGCUCCUUAGCUCCGAUGGGAGUCGGACCUACGUGCCGCACGAGUUGGACGUUGGCAGG
rnacentral:rRNA from 1 species